CCAUCCCGGAAUCAGGGCGUGAGUCCAGGGCCGGGAAGAAAAGAAAGUCACCCAGGACUACAAUUCCCACAAUACAUUUCAUGGGCUUUUUUCGAAGUGUGCGCUCGGAAAACGUAUCCCAUUAUGGAGCAAGAUUUAAAAGUGCAGGAAUCGAGCAACCAGCACAUAUUGAGAACCUCCCGAACAUGUUGAGGACAUAAAUCCAGUUUGCUUUUUGCUUAAGGAUGAAAAUCCAAGACCAUCGGGUCCCUACAAUCUGUCUCAUCUCAUUAGUGUCCUUUGAUUUGGAAUAGUUCCUGAAGACUCAGGUACUCAGACUCCACUGUGCGAAAGAAUUACUCAAUUGGUUAACAAUGCAGAUUCCUGGAACACAGUCCCCCGUGCCUGUCACCAUCACAGUGUUGCUCCAAAUGGAAUUCAGGGGUUAACAGGGAGAAUGUCCAGGACCCAUUUCAAGCAUAUGGAACGAGGACUUCUGACCGGAGGAUCUUCAUCUGCAGUGAGGAUCUUUGAAUCGCACUUGGAGCGAUACAGGGACAGUGAUAAGCAUGCCGAGUCUCCAUAACCUCAUAAAGUCUGGCACUCAGAGGCCCUGUAAUCAAUGAAGGGGACAAAUACGAAUGUCUCUGAGUCAAGCAACACAAUUAUGUCUCUAAGUCAAGCAACAAAAUGAUGGCCUUUGCCAUGGGAAAAGAGAUUUCUAACCACUUGUGGAGAGGCGGGCAGGCACUUUGCAGAAAGUGGAGACAGGCCCCCUGCCCAAGUGAACUGCAGACCUACUUCAUCAGCAGAAAACUCUGUGCUCAUCUUACUUGAGGAAUAAGUGGACCAGUCCAGGUCACGCGGUUAACGGGAAGGGUAACACAGGCGGCCAUAAUUGAUGAUUUACUAGAUCAAAGACCUUUAAGCCAGGCAAUAGAGAUGACCCUCUCUUAUUGAUUAUCAUCCAGUAGCUUUAAAUUAUCCUCAGUGUCCUAGGAGACACACAGGGAAGGACUGGUAAAGAAAGGGGCUUAAGGAAAAGUCAAUAAGUCAUCCUCGGACAAGUUGAAGGCAUGAAGCUUGGCAUGAACAUUCCUUUCAAGUGCACUUACAAGAAGGAGAGAAGAAAUGAAAUAAGCUUCUAAUUAUUUAAAUUGGACCUACACUCUCUGCUGAGCAAUGCCUUAGCUAGCAUUCUUCUUCCGCACAAACUGUCCGUUAGGCCACAAGAAGGAGAUUAAACAUGUCAGCCAUAGGUCUGGCCAUGCUGUGUGCAAAGCUGAAGAUCAGUGGAGACUGGCCCUCCUGAAUGGCAAAAUGCCCUAACCAGAUGAUAAAGUGGAACACCAAAUAUGUUGCUGGUUGCUGUCUUAUCUAAAAUGCAAGGUUAACUCAGGGCCAGCCUUCAGAUGGAGUCAUGUCCCUGGAAUGGUGACGGAGAAGUUGCUGGGAGAAAAUACAAUGGAGGGCUUGAUCGAGGGCAGAGGCUACUCAUCUUAGGGGAUGAACAUCUCUUCCUUUCAGUGAGUACCUCCAGGAAACCCAUUGCUCACAACACCCCAUCUCAAGCUAAGACAAUCAAGACAAGACAAGGGGUAGCAACUAGCCAGCUCUAGAUGCGGUGUACAAGCUGGAAAUGCAAAUGUGGCUUGCUUUAGGGGUGAGCAGGAAAACAGAAUCCAGGCAAUGAUGCACAGAAGAAAAUCUCUUGUGGUGAUGUGGGAAAGAUUUUGCUCUCAGGUAAGACAAGAGACGGUGGUGAAGCCGGUUCUCUUUUUCUGCCAUCAAGUGGUAUGAAAGGGUUUUAUGAUUAGAGAGCUAUGGCAGCCAUCUUGAAAGCAUGAGACUAAAAGAGAUGAAGAACCAAUAUGCUGAGGAGAGACUUUAGAAGAACAGAAAAGAACCUAGGUCCUUGACAGUGUUGCUAAACACUUCUCCCAAGCCUAGACCACCUAACUCCAGACUUUCCAUCAUGCAGAUUCUCUUCAUCAUGAAGUGAAUGCAUUGAGCUGUAGUUUCUCUGAAGAUGUAUGGAGCCAAAAAAUAUUUUCCCUAGGAAUGUAAUGAUGAAACUCCUGCCUUCCGGGGAAGCUAUAGGGUUGGCUACCAGUUUGGUGAUCCAUCGGUACGAAGGAAGAAGGAGAGGACUUUCUUUCUGCAUAGUUUCCCUUACAUAGGAGGACUUCCAUGUUUCUGUUUCCUUCCUGGUGCGGAGCGUGCCACAUCAGGGCAAGACUGAUGAUGCUUCCAUGCUUCUGUUGGCAGUAAACUGGACUCGGCUGGAGAACCUAAGACAGUAUGGGAGAAGUGUCCUCCUCUGCAACUGUUCAAACAGAAGAGUCAGAUCAUGAGGAAGAGCAGACAUCAUUGUCCCAGCAGGAUCAGGAAUGCGUUGAGAUUCUGAUCGGCUGGCUUGGGUCACUUGCCCACCCUGAACUGCCCUCAUGUACUGAAUCAUGCCUGCGGAUGGAACCCCAGGUGCCGAACUGCCGAGAAAGGGGAGUAUGGAUACCGGGGAGGCAAGCAACAGAUGUCCAGCCAGCUAAGAAAUGGGAUGAGUGAGGAGGCUUCCUCCUCGACUGAACUUGCUAAUUCAACUUUUACCAUAGGUUUGCAAAUAAAAGAUGGAGGAAUGACUUAAUAAUGACCUCUGAGUGGAAGCAGUGUUAAAAAUCAAGGUUGAACAGACCUGUCAUUUUCCAUCUGCACUCAGGACAGCACAGGAGAGUGGAGUGGUGAGUAGCUCAGGGAGAGAGUGGGUGCUUCCACUCACCCGGACCAUACUAGCCCGUGAAACGGAAUAAUGCAGCCAUCCCCAGAACACAGGCUGAAAGGACUAGAUGAAUUUUGACCAGAUUUAAUUGUGACCAGAUUGGGGGAGUGAAAGUUUCAGUUUGAGUCAAGUUAACUGUUUUAUUUCAUGUCCCAUUUUUAAUGCUUCCAUAGAACCCUCUCGCUUUUUCUAAAUUACAUGCCUCAUUGUAUUUGAGUUCCUCCCGCUUUUGACAGCUCCAUGCCUUCCAAUUUUGCUUCUGCUGCUUUGAUUAUUAUUCCUGAUUUGGUUGUUGAUGAGACAUGUGGUUUUCUUCAAUUAGCUCUGUCACUCUUACAAAUGUGUGUGUCUCGCAAGUGUCCUAAUUAAAGUCAGGAGGAGGAGGGGGUGAGAAUUACAGGCAAUUACAAUGGUGCCAUCCCCCUCCCUCCCCGCUCUGUUCUCAUCAUCGGGGCGCAUUCUUCUGUAUCUCCAUUUUGCAAGCACAUUGAGCAGCCUUUCUGUUUAAAAUCCCAUUAAUUUUUUUCUGAACACGAUAUGCAGCUGUGCCCGUGUGUCAUACGUUUCACUUUCAGGAAACCCCCUCGCUUUCAUUUAGUUUUAUUAAGUGCAGUCUCCUCUCUGCCACUUCCUAUCGUUUUUCCCAUUUGUCCCGAGACAGAAGACUACCUUUACCAAGAUGCACCAUCCCGUAACGUCUCCCCAGCCCUGCCGCCUCCCCUUCUGCGGGCUUACGUUCAGUUCACUCCCCUUCAGUGCCGCAGACGUUUCUGGAUUAUCUGAGUCUUCCGAAUGUGCCAGGAAACGUGCCAGGAUCCAGGGCUACAAAGAUGAAUAAGCACAUGGACGUGAAGACAAUGUGGGCUAGAUACUAAGAAGACCCCGGAUUUCAGAGCCAGACAAGAGGGAGAUUUAAAUGCCUGCUUUGCCCCUUGCUAGCUGUUUGGCCUUGGGCAAAUCACUUAGCUGGGUUUUUUUCAUCUGUUAAAAUUAUGCUAAUAAUACUUACCUUGCAGGGUUGUUGUGAAGAUUGGAGAUAAUGUAUGCAAAGUAGCUAGCCUAGUGCCUGCUAUUCCUCAAUAAAUGGGAGCUAUAAUUAUUAUCAUGAAUAAGAUAUAGUGUACUUAAGGAACUCACCAUCUACUCAAAGAGAGAGAAGAGUAAAUUAACUUUUAUAACAUAUUGUUAUAUGUAUAAUAAUGAAAGGAUGUAGGUGGUGAUGGAGCAGCCUCCCUGGGGCCCUGCAUGUUCUCUCCUCCACCCGCCUCUCCUCCUCCCUUCCUUGCAACCCCCGCCCCCAGCAUUUCCAGGAAGCUUCAGCCGCCGGACCUCUCCCCUUCUCAGUGUCUCUGCCUUUGUCCCGUGUUCCCUCUGUCUGCAGAGCUCAUCCAUGUGGUCCUUAAAGGGCUGGCUCUUUCUCAUCGUUCAGGGUUUGGCUUAGUCAUCCACGAGAAAGGCUUUCCAUCACCAUCCCAGUCGAAAGUAGCCCGUCCCCUCACCUCCAUUUCGAAGAACAAAGCAGUUUCCUUUCCGUCAUAGAAAUGAUCUGCAAUUAUCGAAUUUCUCCGUUUUGAUGUUUAUUUCCUGGUGCUCCCCGCCAGGACAUGAAUGCCAUGGGGGCAGGGAGCAUACCUGUAGUUUGUUCAUAGCUGUGUUCCCGUUGACAAGAGCAGUGGCUGCGGCAUAGGGUAUGCUCCAUCAAUAGGAGGGGAAUGAGUCGCGGUGGUGGGGGAGACAACAGCAGAGAUCUUAAACAGAGGGGUUUCUGUAGUGGUGGCUGUGCAUUUUGCUGCUGUCGGUAUUGGCAGCUGCCCAGUACCCAACGCAUCUACUGUUGUGGGCUCCGGAGUCUGAGGCAAGAGGCUAAGGUAAUGGGAGUCUCACACAGUGGUGUCUAACUUUGUGCCUCUCCACCUGGCUUUAGAAAACUAGAUGGAAAUAUCCUUCUUAGAUCAUCUGCUAUGUGGUUUUUACCUGAGCCCUUCUUCCCGGACUCCAAGCAAAUUCUUGGCAGGGGUCUGGUCCAGGCACCAAAUGAUGGCCCUCAAUAAUUAUUGUUUUCAUGGAAAUUUAUCUUUUAUUGUCCCCUUUCCUAUGACUUCCAGUGGGGAAGAUGAGGGCACUUACAAGAAUAAAGUAAAAAGGUGUUUGAGUCUUUGUGAGGCUGAAUGUUUAGCUUUAGGCAUGGACUUCUAGAAGUCAGUGCUGACUUUUACAACUAACAUUUCUCCUCCAGUGUCCGAGUUGGGCUUAGAAUGACAAGGCAUCAAGGAGUCCUAGCCAGUGUUUUUAAAAAUGUGUGACCUUGAUCAAAAGCAGAGAUUGAGUAAAAUAUAGCAGGCUUAGUGAAAAUCUAUUCCUCCUGUUGGAAAAACAAUUCAGAGGGCAAGAAGCACAUAUCAAAGCUCCUAAUUUACCGAGGGGCACCAGUCACAACGUUUUCUUAUAUAAAAAGGGCAAAGUUUUUGUUUUAGCUUCACUAAGACUUGCAGUUCUCUUAUGUAAAAACAUCUGCAAGGCGUCCACUUAGUUUCCAAUCAAGUGGUUAACUAAGACUUUGUACUUGCUUCUUUGGUGCUUGUGGGGCUUCUUAGCACUCACUCAGAAUUUUAAUUUGCAUCCAGAUAUCUUUAUAUUUUCUUUUAAUUGUCUUUCUCAGUCUCGAUCCAAAAAGGAGCCUGAAGACUUAAUGCAACUUAAGUUUUAUCUUUAUAUGAUUACAUUUAAGCGUAAUUUCAGGUUUUAUGAUGACACGGGAGAAACAGAUACGGCCAGGGGACUUAAUCUAAUUCAUUGUAAUUCAUCUAAAGGCCUUGGCAGUGGCAGAAGCUCAACAAAUUUGUUCCAACCUCUUAGUCUUUCAAACACUUGUGAGCCUGCCUUGCCUACACAAAUUACAGCUCAAAAAUAGAAAUUUGUUCAUUCACACACAAAAAAGCAUUUUAAAUGAGCCACAUAAGUAUACUUCAAAGAUAUAUUAUUUUGUUUAUUAGGUUGAACUGAAAUAGAUAUCAUGGGUAUUUGGGUUAUGAUUAGUUUUCUGUCUGUAUAUCCUUAUGUAGACUGUAGGUGCUUAACUUUUACAUUUUGGGACUUCAUCUCCAUUAGCCGAUGUUAUCAGUGUUGGGAUCUUUAACCUGUUGCAGCACUGCCAGGAUUCGACACACCCUAAAUUGGGUUUCUCAUGAGAUUUCCAGGUCGUGACAGUUUCCCCAGUAACCACACUCGAACCUCUGAACAGACCUCAUUUGUUAGAUAGUAAGCAAUAAUAUAUGAGUCACAGAGAGCCAAUAAUCGUCCUUCAACUUCUCUAGCCAUAGGCUGGACAUGAUCAUAGGCUGGCCAGUAACAAACUUUCCACAGGAUCUUUCCAACUCCAACUGGGAGAGGAAAACCCUCUUGUCUUUUAGUUAGCAAACUGUUAGAAUGUGAGUCCAUGGACACAGACAGCACAUGUGCAACUGUGUGGAGGACGCCUGUUUACAUUAAGAGAAAAUAAGGUCAGUGUUCAUUCAGAGAGAAGCAGGACAAGAGAUCCAACAACACUUGAGUGUCUGAUCUGAUCAUCCCAGCGAUACCCUUGCCUGUGCAGAGCACAUGAGCCAAUAUUUUUUGUUUGUCUGUUUUGUUUAAGGUAGUUAGAGUAGAAACUUCUGACAAGAAAUCGAGGAGUCUUUGGCUAACAUAAACCCCAAUUCACACCAAAGUAACACUAGGGACAUAACCUUCCCAUGAAGUCACCAUGGUAGGAAACACUGAAACUGGUAAGAUAGAGGAAGUAAAAGAGGGACCCAGUUAGAAUCACAGAUAAAAAACUGUGGACACCUUACAAAACAGUAAUAGUCACAAGAGCCUGGAAAUGAGAAAAUAACAUCUCCCCAAAGGUGGUAAGGACUCUCAGGAGAGGGUCAUCAGAAACUGGGGACCAGUUUCUCAGGUAUUGGGAUAAGUAAAGUUCCCAUCAGUCCCUUUGAGAAGAAAAGCUGAUCAUUUACGAAAUCCACUUUCUAUUAGGGAUAUUGUGUCACUGUCCAUGAAGAUUCUCAAAACCCAGAUGACUCUUAUACACAGAAAAGCCUUUUUAUUACCUCUUUGAUGUUUAUUUAAUGUCCAAAUUAUUGAUAUUAUGAAUUUAUCAAGUAAUUUUUUUUACCAGUAAACAAUAAACACUCUUCUAAAUAGUCACAUACUAUUAGAUUCAUGUUGAAUAAAAACUUACGGAUUUAAUAAAAUACAUUUCCCUAAAUGCUUAGAUAUUGACUGCAAAGUUAAAGUUGUUUCAUAAACCUCCUGGUGAUUCAAUUAAAAGCACAAAUCUCCAGAAGUUUUCAAAAAUGCUUAAAUAUGCCAGGAUACAGAUAGAACACAAAUAAAAUGUCUCAAUGAUUAACAAAUUUUUAUGCUUACAAUAAAACUUAGUAUCAUAAUGCAAAUAGCAUGAAUGAAAAUGUGGCUUUUCAUGUCCUUAUUCUCAUUCUCAUGUUUAUUCUUAUUUUUGUUUCUAAUCUUAUUUCCAUUUUUAUUGUAAUUAUUUUUUCUAUUCUUAUUCUUACCCUUAUUUUGAGUCCAUCCUAGAGUUACUUUUCUAGGCUUAUCAUAAAUGCAUUACAUACUCUAUUUUCCUCUGGUGCUUGUAAUUUUACCAGACUCCUUUGAAAAACAAUACCUUUCCAGACUAGCCAAGAUGGUGGGUAUGGACUAUUGACCCAUUGGUUGUACAGACCAGAAUUAUGCCCUGAA